CUAGUGGUUCCUGCUAGUCAGUGUGGCUCUCUCAGUGGAAAAGUUGGCUGCAAGAUCAAGGAAAUAUGAGAGAGUACAGGGGCUCAGGUCCAGGUGGCAGGGGAUAUGCUACCCAACUCAACUGAGCGGGCCAUCACUAUUGCUGGCAUUCUGCAAUCCAUCGUUGAGUGUGUCAAACAGAUCUGCGUGGUCAUGUUGGAGACUCUCUCCCAGUCCCCCCCAAAGGGCGUGACCAUCCCAUACCGGCCCAAGCUGUCCAGUUCUCCAGUCAUCUUUGCAGGUAGUCAGGCCUAUACCAUUCAAGGACAGUAUGCCAUUCCACAGCCACAUUUGACCAAGCUGCACCAGUUGGCAAUGCAACAGUCUCAUUUUCCCAUGACGCAUGGCAACACCGGAUUCAGUGGCAUUGAAUCUAGCUCUCCAGAGGUGAAAGGCUACUGGGCAGAUUUGGAUGCAUCUGCUCAGACGACUUCUCAUGAACUCACCAUUCCAAAUGAUUUGAUUGGCUGCAUCAUCGGGCGUCAGGGCGCCAAAAUCAAUGAGAUCCGUCAGAUGUCUGGGGCGCAGAUCAAAAUUGCAAACCCAGUGGAAGGAUCUACUGACAGGCAGGUUACCAUCACUGAAUCUGCUGCUAGCAUUAGCCUGGCUCAAUAUCUAAUCAAUGUCAGGCUUUGCUCGGAGACGGGUGGCAUGGGGAGCAGCUAGAACAAUGCAGAUUCAUCCAUUAUCCCUUUCUGCUGUUCACCACCACCCAUGAUCCAUCUGUGUAGUUUCUGAACAGUCAGGGAUUCCAGAUUUUAAAUAGUUUGUAAAUUUUCAGUUUCUACACACUUUAUCAUCCACUCAUGAUUUUUUAAUUAAAGCGUUUUAAUUCCUUUCUCUGUUCA